rnacentral:lncRNA from 1 species
UCAGUACAUUUUUUUGUGUGUUUGUGUGUGUGGUGCUGGGGAUUAGAACCCAGGGCCUUGUGCAUGCAAGGCAAGCACUCUACCAACUGAGCUAUAUCCCCAGCCCAAUGUAGUUCUUUAUUUGGGUGGGGGAGUUAAGAACUCAGGGCACUGAGCCACUGAGCCACAUCCCCAUCCCUAAUUGUAUUUUAUUUAGAGACAGGAUUUGAGUUGCUUAGUAUCUCGCUACUGCAGAGGCUGGCUUUGAACUCCUGUCCUCCUGCUUCAGCCUCCUGACCUGCUGGAGUAACAGGCAUGUGUCACCACACCCGGCAAGUCAAUACAUAGUUCUUUUAUGUACAGGAAGAUGAACCAAGUCAUUAGUCAGAGGGAUUAAAUAUUCUUGUUAUAUAUCAAAAUAGUUUCAUUUUUGAUAUCUGUGAUGCAUGUUGCACUUUUUCCAGAGAAAGACAGGUAUGACUGCAUAUGGGGACAUUGUCAUGGCCUUUUGCAAAUGCUACUUCAUAGGAUGUGGCUCUACUGAACUAAUGUGCUGUAGUUAACUAACCGGGUGUAGCAACACAGAUGGCUACUCAAUAGCUUUCUCCUCUUCCCUACAUAGAGAACCCC